rnacentral:rRNA from 1 species
GACAGAGGGUGCAAACGUUGUUCGGAAUUACUGGGCGUAAAGCGUGUGUAGGCGGCCACGUAAGUCGGAUGUGAAAGCCCCGGGCUCAACCCGGGAACUGCGUCCGAUACUGGAUGGCUUGAAUCCGGGAGAGGGAUGCAGAAUUCCAGGUGUAGCGGUGAAAUGCGUAGAUAUCUGGAGGAAUACCGGUGGCGAAGGCGGCAUCCUGGACCGGCAUUGACGCUGAGGAGCGAAAGCCAGGGGAGCAAACGGG